rnacentral:tRNA from 1 species
UGCGGGGUGGGCCAGCAGUAGGCCGGGAGGCUCAUAACCUCCAGACACCGGCGCAAAUCCGGUCCCCGCAA